GUAAACCGUUUCAUUUUCUAAUAUCUUUCAUUUACUUUGUAAAAAAAUUAUUAUUGUUUUCCAUUACUCUGUGUACUUACAUCUACCAUUGUUGUCAUUUUUAAUUUAUUCAAUUUAUUUGUUGAAACUUGAUAUCGUCUUAACGGGCAAUAUAUUCCGUUUCGAUGAUGAGUUUCGACCUGGAACUAGCGAUUUGGAAAGAUCUACCUGUGCAAUAUUGUGCCCCUGAUACACGAAUAAACCUCCUGAGCAGUGCAACGAUUCAGAAAGUUAAGGUCCUUCAGGUAAUCCUGAAUAUGACAACGAACUACGGAGCGUACAACGAGUUUCCUGGAAUGUCAACGCAAAGUAUUCCAGACUAACAGUCCAGCGAUUCGGGAAGUGGUAGUUCAUCCUAAAAAAUUGAGCUCCCACUACUCGAGUGAGACCACAAUUAAACAAAUCAACAAUUGUAUUAAUAACAAACAUUUUGGAGUAAAAACGUUUCUUUACAAUUAUUAUCUGUCGGUACCAGCGAUCCCAGUACACGAAUAAGCUGCCGACUAAAACAAUCAAGAACUCGGGUAUUCAUGACAAACAUUAUCACAGAUAAGAGGACGAAGCAUUUCAGAUGUGGUGUAAAUGAAUCUUGGAGAAAAAUAUCCAAAAAUAUAUUUAUUAAUAUAAAUUUUAUUUUAUCUAGUUUUUUCAUGUAUGCUUUCAUAUUUUGUUAAUAACUUGUUCCUAUUGUUUAUACUACAGUUACAUUCAAUUUUUUUUUGUACUCAAGCUUAACGUGACCUUUUGAGAUUGCUUAUGUCAAUAUUAUUGUAUUCUUGCUACCUACCUUUUCAUAAUUAUUGUGUAUAUAUAAAUAUUUUACUUCAAUUGUAAAUCUUAUAAUUUAUUUACUCUGUAUAUUUUUUAUUAAAUACUUAUAAAAUUGAACGUUGUUUUAAUAAUUAAAUAAGUAAAAAUAACGGUAA